GGUCAAGCUACAAAGGGCUAACGGUGG
rnacentral:ncRNA from 3 species